rnacentral:rRNA from 1 species
GAUGAACGCUGGCGGCGUGCCUAACACAUGCAAGUCGAACGAAGCACCUUUUGAGAUUCUUCGGAUGAUCGAUUGGUGACUGAGUGGCGGACGGGUGAGUAACGCGUGGGUAACCUGCCCUGUACAGGGGGAUAACAGCUGGAAACGGCUGCUAAUACCGCAUAAGCGCACGAGGAGACAUCUCCUUGUGUGAAAAACUCCGGUGGUACAGGAUGGGCCCGCGUCUGAUUAGCUGGUUGGCAGGGUAACGGCCUACCAAGGCGACGAUCAGUAGCCGGUCUGAGAGGAUGAACGGCCACAUUGGAACUGAGACACGGUCCAAACUCCUACGGGAGGCAGCAGUGGGGAAUAUUGCACAAUGGGGGAAACCCUGAUGCAGCAACGCCGCGUGAGUGAAGAAGUAUUUCGGUAUGUAAAGCUCUAUCAGCAGGGAAGAUAAUGACGGUACCUGACUAAGAAGCUCCGGCU